UGCCUAAGGAUAUUUUCAUCCAAUAUAUGCACUGAUUUGGAUGGCCCAACCGUCUCUGAACGUCUCUACUUGUUAGAUAUCCGGAUGAAUGCUGCAAUACGUACGUAGAACCUCUCUUUUCUUCUAGCCUGGGCAUUCCGUGGGAAACAAGGGCCCGAACAUUAGCUUAGAUGUGAAAACUAUUGCAUAAUAACAACAACUCAAGCAAUAAGAAAUAAUCAUUUUAAAGGACAAAAGGAUCAAGAUAUUUUCAGAAAACUAAAAGUAGUUGGCAGGUUUAGCAAUCAGUGGUAUAGAGUCCAACCUAAAAUAACAGACAACGAAUCAAAUGAUGAAACUUUUGGAUCGAUUUGAUUCCGAACUUCCAAUGGCACACUAUGGCUAGCCAUGCGUACCCCACCCCCUAAAGCUCAUAUCCAGAAAAAUUCCGUGAUCAAGUGAGAUCUUGGUAAACAGUGACGGCAUUUGUUAUAUUUGGACCGUAAGAAACACAUAAAAACCUGCUACGUACGCCCUUCCUCACAAAAAACCAUUCAAGAGGACAGGAUAUUCUAAUUGAAUGGUCACAGUCUAUCGUCAUGUCAUUCUCCAAGAUGGCGAUUCGUUGCGAUACCAGAAAACAUAUUUUAAAAUAAUAAUAAUAAAAAAGAAGCUCCUCUGGCCAGUUAGGGUUGUAUUUAGCACUGGGAGACUGCUCUGAUGGCUUGGGAAGGUGGGAAAUGGUUGUCUACAAGCAUUGCUUGGGACGGACACCGACCCAAUUCUUGAGAGGGAAGCAUGGAAGAUGGGACCCAUCACCAAUAAUUUUAGAUGUUCUGUGCCACCAUGAAGGUAAGUACACAGUUGAAGGGAACGCACGGGAUUGGACACGUCGAGCCCUUGGCUCACCAAUCAGGAAAUGGGGGUCCACGGGUUGAGGUCACGGGUCGAUCCCACCAGAUAGACAAGGCAAAUGGCGAGUCAGCGUCAUCGCCUCAACCGCGUCCAUGAGUUAAAAAUACGGGUAAGGUUAAAAAAUUUAAUUUAUUUAAAUUUAAUCAUAAAUAUCAUGAUAAAUUUAUAGCCGGCUUUCAUUAAUCUAUACUGCAGUAUUUUAUAGUCUAUAUAAGCUAUAGGAUGAGUUCGUUUUGUUACUAUUUGCUACAAUUCAGGAUCUACUCAAAAUAACUAGUUAGAAUAUAUUAUUUAAAUUUCUUACUUUUAUAAAAAUGUUUAAAAUUUCUUUGGUAAAUAAUUAAUAUAGAAUUAAAUAUAUGUCCGUACGGUCCUCACGGUAGGCGCAUUAUUAGGUCACAACUUUUAUUAGUUCAUAUUUCAAAGGAGAAGAAAAAACAAAGAGGAAAAGGUGAGAGGAACGCGAUGGUGAAAUAUUAAAAAAGAAAAAAAGAAUUAAUAACAUAUUUUAUUGAACUUCUGGAAAGCGACAAAACUAAGGAUUUUACGACAAUAUCGGAUUUAAUUCUUCAAAAGCUGUACCGAGUCCAGAUCAAAUCUGCAAAGAAGAGCCGACACUGGAGAUGCGAGCUCAGUUUACAAAGAUGAUAUUUAAUAUUUAAUGAACUGGGAGAAUCGAAUAAAUCCAAGAUUAGCAAUCUAAAAUAAGUACAAGAAUGUAAUAUCCUGCACUAAGUUGCAGUCUCCGGGCUCACGAGUCACAAGAAUCAAGUCACGGGCUCAUGGACGUGGUCCAUCUAUGCCCAACAAUAUGAAGAAAACUCUAAUCCUGCUUGUGCAUUAUUAAAAAAAAAAAAAAUAUUAUUAUAUACAUAUUUUCACCUUCUCGACUAUUGCCUGAGUUCCGGUUAGAUCCUCGCAAGUUUAAAAAAAAAUUAAUUGAGUUUCUCAAGUUACUUGAUUUACCGGAAUUAUGUCGUAUGCCUGCCAUGCGGUGUCCCUCUGAUUUUUUAAGGACCGAAGCACCCGUGGCACAAUUUGUAUAAGGUGAAAACUUCUAGUAUCAAGGAAAUAUAAAACCGCAUGACCCCAGGUGAUUGCCAUCUCAUGUAACUAGAAUUUCUCUGCUACAAGAAAAGAGGAACCAAAGACAAAGAAGCUAAGAGAGAGAGAGAGAGAGAGAGAGAGAGAGAGAGAGAGAGAGAGAGUAUGCCUCACCAUGCAUGGAACCAAGUCCUCAAAUGAAUGAAACCAAACUGGGAGGACUAUGCGACCAUCGUCAUCCAAACAACUUUUGAAGGAUACUCGGUACCCUCCUACAUCGUUUUCUUGGUGAAAGAUUCGAUCUCUUUAAUAUUCUUUAUGUUGGGGUAGAAUGGGGAGGGAAGCAAGGAGAGUGCUUAUUAAGGGCUUUGAGAAAGGUUGGUGAAGCUGCAGGCACUGGUGAAGGGACACAACAUGCGGAAGUAGGACGCAAGUACGCCCUGGCUAGGAUCCAGGCCUGGGUGAGAGACCCUGUGGACCGGCUCGCCCAGGAGGCAGCCGGACGCAGCAGCAACAAGUCCUCCCUUUAGCUGCGACACCUCCAUUCGGGACUCCAGAUACCUCCAGAAGCUGGCAUCGAGAAGAUCCAUGGUGUUUCCAAGCAAGAUGCUUUCGAGUGUUGGGAGAUACCUGACAGUCGAGAGAAAGGAGUAGCUUUGUGGACGUUUAAGAUGAUCGGCCACAGAGCAUCGAGGAGAUCCAAGCUAUGGUGCAGAGGAGAAAGGAGCCUGCUUUGAAACGAGAGCGAGCCCUCUCAUGUGCCUCGUCUCUUACUCGUUGCUUUCAGCAUUAUAUUUCCUCUCUGUAUCAAAAUUUGAGCCCCGAUUGAUUUGUUUUGCACUUUUGCCUUGCUCCGAGCCUAUUUCCGGCCCAUUCGGAAGUUCUAGAGACCCCAUAUAUAGGAAUUUAUCCCUAUGAAUCUAUGAUGGAGGAAGAAGUGUUCUCGAUCGGGAGGAGAGCAGAGGCCUCGGGGUCCUCCCCUUUUCACCGCCCCCACCACUCCUGUGAUGUCAUCGCCCACCGAGUUGUGGCCUCUGCAAGUCCUCGCUGCGGAAGGGAGCAGCAGAAGAGCUCCCUCGCCUACCACCACCACCCAACGGCGGUGCCAAGCUACAUAACACCGAUGGAGUCGGUUGUGGCCCAACCGCGGUUGCAGAGUGCGCCGAGACAAAGCCCCAAGGUGAGUCUACGAGAGAUGCAGCGGCGAGAGCUUGGCCGAAAGAGAGGAGCACGGGUUGAAUAUGCAUGAGAGGAGCGUGCUUUUGAGCCAAUGGGAUGCUGCUUCACCGAGGCCAUGGCCACGGGUUUGGCUCGCGCGCGCACAAGGUGAUCCCUUUGAUCUUUUUUGAUGGUAUAUAAUAGGAUCGUCCUUUUGUCGAUGGUAUAUAUAGGAUCGUCGGACAAAACUAUACUACGGAUCCCUCUCCAUCCGUCCCUCUCUCUCUCUGCCUUCUCCUGACACAAGACGUGGGGCACCUUCGACUUUGGCCGCGCAUCUCCCCGGUUGCGCUCAUGACAGAAGACGUGGGGCGCCUCCGGCCGCGCGUCGAACCUAAGGUCUCCACUUUACGAAGCUGUACGUGUGGUAGGUUGAGCGCUAGUUCCUGUGACUGAGGUAAGCUCAAGGAGAGAUCCGUCCUCCAAGAACCUUCUGCUCUGUUUCUUGACAAUAUUAUGAAGAUCUUACGCGAAUCAUUUAGCUAGUUGCUGCAGGUGCAGCACAUUGAGUGCUGGUUCCUGUGGCUGAAAUCUCUGUUUAUUGAUAAUAUUUUGAAGAUCUUAUGUGGAUCACUAAUCUAAUUGCUCCAUGUUAAAUUCAAGAACCCUUCUACUCUGUUUGUUGAUAAUUUUUCAAUUUUUUUUUUUAAUCAUUCCUUUGUCGCCAUUUCUUUUUUGUAGUAUCUUGAUUUUUUUUCUAUCUUCUUGAUAAUUUUUUUACUUUUAGAAUUUGCAUGAAUGAAUUUUUUUUUUGGAUAAAAUUUAAAUUUUCACUUGAUCAUGGAUGAUUGAUUUAUUUUGUAUAUAUCAUACGGUCAAAUGGUUAUAUCAAUAAAAAAUACGUUCUGUUCUAAAAAUAAGAAGAAAAAAACAGAAUUCUAUAUUUUUUUUAUCUAUGGAGAUGCCUUUCAUUUUUAUUUUUUCGAAAUAAAUAUUAAAAAUGAUAAAAUAAGAAGUCUGUCUUUAUUUUUUGUUAAUUUUUAUUUCACAAAUCUUUGCCCUUCUUCGGUGUUUCCCCAGAAUCCUGACCUUACGACUCUAUUUCAGGAAUAUAUACUUGCGUGAAAAAAAAACAUGCAUUUCCACCCUCGCUUCAGAGGGUUUUAUUUUUCUGAGAGGCUUGCAAACCUAGAACCCCAAAGCAGAUAAGAGUGAUCAUUUGUAUCCUUCGGUGUCCCACAAGUUAAGCAGAUAAGACUGUUGGUCCAGCACUACUUCAACACCAAAGACCUUUGGUAUUGUCAUCUGCAAUUAUAUUUCGGGUUGUCCAGAUACAGGUAACCAGAUAUUGGAUUGAAUUUAAUGAGUUUCUGCAAGACCAGACAAUAUAACGCCGUGUGCUAGCUGAUUUCAA